rnacentral:rRNA from 1 species
AUUGAACGCUGGCGGCAGGCCUAACACAUGCAAGUCGAGCGGUAGAGAGAAGCUUGCUUCUCUUGAGAGCGGCGGACGGGUGAGUAAUGCCUAGGAAUCUGCCUAGUGGUGGGGGAUAACGUUCGGAAACGGACGCUAAUACCGCAUACGUCCUACGGGAGAAAGCGGGGGAUCUGCGGACCUCGCGCCAUUAGAUGAGCCUAGGUCGGAUUAGCUAGUUGGUGGGGUAAUGGCUAACCAAGGCGACGAUCCGUAACUGGUCUGAGAGGAUGAUCAGUCACACUGGAACUGAGACACGGUCCAGACUCCUACGGGAGGCAGCAGUGGGGAAUAUUGGACAAUGGGCGAAAGCCUGAUCCAGCCAUGCCGCGUGUGUGAAGAAGGUCUUCGGAUUGUAAAGCACUUUAAGUUGGGAGGAAGUGCAGUAACCUAAUACGUUAUUGUUUUGACGUUACCGACAGAAUAAGCACCGGCUAACUUCGUGCCAGCCGCCGCCGUAACAC